rnacentral:rRNA from 1 species
GAGUUUGAUCCUGGCUCAGAUUGAACGCUGGCGGCAGGCCUAACACAUGCAAGUCGAGCGGAUGACGGGAGCUUGCUCCUUGAUUCAGCGGCGGACGGGUGAGUAAUGCCUAGGAAUCUGCCUGGUAGUGGGGGACAACGUUUCGAAAGGAACGCUAAUACCGCAUACGUCCUACGGGAGAAAGCAGGGGACCUUCGGGCCUUGCGCUAUCAGAUGAGCCUAGGUCGGAUUAGCUAGUUGGUGGGGUAAUGGCUCACCAAGGCGACGAUCCGUAACUGGUCUGAGAGGAUGAUCAGUCACACUGGAACUGAGACACGGUCCAGACUCCUACGGGAGGCAGCAGUGGGGAAUAUUGGACAAUGGGCGAAAGCCUGAUCCAGCCAUGCCGCGUGUGUGAAGAAGGUCUUCGGAUUGUAAAGCACUUUAAGUUGGGAGAAGGGCAGUAAGUUAAUACCUUGCUGUUUUGACGUUACCGACAGAAUAAGCACCGGCUAACUCUGUGCCAGCAGCCG